ACAUUGGCAACACAUUGGUUUUAGGGAGGCUGGGAAAUAUGGUUUCUAUUCUGGGCAGCCACAAACUCAGCCACCAAUCAGGGCUUCUAUAUUAAGAAAAAUGGGUAUCAGGGGUCAACUUAGUUUCUGUCACAGCUUUCGAGUCUUGAGGCUUAAUCACCCUGCUGUUCUGCCUUUUCUCUAUUUCAUGAAAGAAAGGGUAGAGAAGACACGUGUGUAUUUCACACAGACUUCUUUGGUUCCUUUUGACGAUUUCUGCGUGCCUCUUCCCUGAUUCCUCCUUGUGUUUGCUGCUAACAGCCUGCCCAUGUGAAAUGCUUCAGAACCCUGCCCUUGGGCUCACGGAGUCAUGUUGCCUACACCUGGGAAUUUGGAUGGCCCUUAGCAAGUGACUUACUCUGUGGGAGCACAAAAACCCAGCUCCCUUGGCUGGGGUCAGGACGAACACAUCCUCAUGCUAUGCACAUAUAACCAAAUCAAGGCACCAGUAUUUACUGUGGAAUUCAAGAGGAAAAGCUCAGUCUCUGUGGGAAUGGCUUAGAAACAGUGGUUCAUAAAAGCCCUGGACUCAGCCAGAGCAGGGUAGAAGAUGGCCAGAGGACAAAGAAGGCAGAGAGAUGGCAGGAGGAUCAGCUGCAGAGAGGAGUACCCUUUAUGCUGAGAGCUGCAGAGAUGACCUGCCAGCAGAGAGAAGCUAUCCUCUCCCACUGAGAGCUUCAGAGACCUGCAGAAAUGUCCAAACGA
rnacentral:lncRNA from 10 species